GUGCACGCUGGCGGUAGGCCUAACACAUGCAAGUCGAACGGCAGCACAGUAAGAGCUUGCUCUUACGGGUGGCGAGUGGCGGACGGGUGAGGAAUACAUCGGAAUCUACUUUUUCGUGGGGGAUAACGUAGGGAAACUUACGCUAAUACCGCAUACGACCUACGGGUGAAAGUAGGGGAUCUUCGGACCUUGCGCGAUUGAAUGAGCCGAUGUCGGAUUAGCUAGUUGGCGGGGUAAAGGCCCACCAAGGCGACGAUCCGUAGCUGGUCUGAGAGGAUGAUCAGCCACACUGGAACUGAGACACGGUCCAGACUCCUACGGGAGGCAGCAGUGGGGAAUAUUGGACAAUGGGCGCAAGCCUGAUCCAGCCAUACCGCGUGGGUGAAGAAGGCCUUCGGGUUGUAAAGCCCUUUUGUUGGGAAAGAAAAGCAGCAGGUUAAUACCCCGCUGUUCUGACGGUACCCAAAGAAUAAGCACCGGCUAACUUCGUG
rnacentral:rRNA from 1 species